rnacentral:snRNA from 1 species
GGCUUUACCCCGAAGGGAGCCCUUCCAGAAAUUCUCGAAGGCCCAAGACAAGCUUAGGCCCAGGAGGGGGUUUGGAAAUAGUUUUCAACCAGCAAUAGACGCGCCUCGGUUAGUACCUCAUUAGCUGCGUCAUUGCCCCAAGCGCAAAGAU